rnacentral:rRNA from 1 species
UACGUAGGGGGCAAGCGUUAUCCGGAAUCACUGGGUGUAAAGGGUGAGUAGGCGGUUUAAUAAGUCAUGUGUGAAAGCCCCAUGCUUAACAUGGGGACUGCACAAGAAACUGUAAGACUAGAGUACAGGAGAGGUAAGUGGAAUUCCUAGUGUAGCGGUGAAAUGCGUAGAUAUUAGGAGGAACACCAGUGGCGAAGGCGACUUACUGGACUGAAACUGACGCUGAGGAGCGAAAGCGUGGGGAGCAAACAGG